CCUACGGGGGGCUGCAGUGGGGAAUAUUGGGCAAUGGGCGCAAGCCUGACCCAGCAACGCCGCGUGAAGGAAGAAGGCCCUCGGGUUGUAAACUUCUUUUGUCAGGGACGUAACAAAUGACGGUACCUGACGAAUAAGCCACGGCUAACUACGUGCCAGCAGCCGCGGUAAUACGUAGGUGGCAAGCGUUAUCCGGAUUUACUGGGUGUAAAGGGCGUGUAGGCGGGAGGGCAAGUCAGAUGUGAAAUUUCAGGGCUCAACCCUGGAACUGCAUUUGAAACUGUUUUUCUUGAGUGAUGGAGAGGCAGGCGGAAUUUCGGGUGUAGCGGUGAAAUGCGUAGAUAUAAGGAGGAACACCAGUGGCGAAGGCGGCCUGCUGGACAUUAACUGACGCUGAGGCGCGAAAGCGUGGGGAGCAAACAGGAUUAGAUACCCGAGUAGUC
rnacentral:rRNA from 1 species